rnacentral:lncRNA from 1 species
UAUGGCUGCCGAAGUUCUUGCCCUUUGCUACUUUAACUUAUUUCAAUGAAUUCUUGCAAAAAUUUACAAAAAUCAUGUCCUCCUCUUCCAAUUUCCAGCUUCUUCCCUUUGUUUCUCUCAAGCUCUAUAACUCUCUAAUUUGUCACUUAAUUUGUUUUCUUGGAUAUAAUCCUCCUAAGAACACUCCCUUUUGAUUUAGCUUGAAGAAAUGAAGAGAAAAUGAAGAAAAUGGGACAAAACAAAUGGUCUCCCU